UACGUAGGGGGCAAGCGUUAUCCGGAUUUACUGGGGUGUAAAGGGAGCGCAGACGGAACUGCAAGUCUGAUGUGAAAGCCCGGGGCUCAACCGCGGGACUGCAUCGGAUACUGUGGAUCUGGAGUGCCGGAGGGGCAAGCGGAAUUCCUGGUGUAGCGGUGAAAUGCGUAGAUAUCAGGAGGAACACCGGCGGCGAAGGCGGCUUGCUGGACGGCAACUGACGUUGAGGCUCGAAAGCGUGGGGAGCAAACAGGAUUAGAUACCCCCGUAGU
rnacentral:rRNA from 1 species